CCUACGGGUGGCAGCAGUGGGGAAUAUUGGACAAUGGGCGCAAGCCUGACCCAGCAACGCCGCGUGAAGGAAGAAGGCUUUCGGGUUGUAAACUUCUUUUCUGAGGGACGACCAAAGUGACGGUACCUCAGGAAUAAGCCACGGCUAACUUCGUGCCAGCAGCCGCGGUAAUACGUAGGUGGCAAGCGUUAUCCGGAUUUAUUGGGUGUAAAGUGCGUGUAUGCGGGAAAGCAAGGCAGAUGGGAAAACUCAGGGCUCAAACCUGAGCCUGCAUUGGAAACUGUUUAUCUAGAGUGCGGGAGAGGUAAGCGGAAUUCCGUGUGUAGCGGUGAAAUGCGUAGAUAGACGGAGGAACACCAGUGGCGAAGGCGGAUUGCUGGACAGUAACUGACGCUGAGGCGCGAAAGCGUGGGGAGCAAACAGGAUUAGAUACCCUAGUAGUC
rnacentral:rRNA from 1 species